GACGAACGCUGGCGGCGUGCUUAACACAUGCAAGUCGAACGAAGUGGCGAACGGGUGAGUAACGCGUAAUCACCCUGCCCUUCAGAGGGGGACAACAGUUGGAAACGACUGCUAAUACCGCAUACUGAAGGGGGGGAUUGCGGUUGAUUAGCUCUUUGGCGGGGUAACGGCCCACCAAGGCGAUGAUCAGUAGCCGGUGUGGUAGGAUGAACGGCCACAUUGGGACUGAGCCACGGCCCAGACUCCUACGGGAGGCAGAAGUGGGGAAUCUUCCGCAAUGGACGAAAGUCUGACGGAGCAACGCCGCGUGAGUGAUGACGGCCUUCGGGUUGUAAAGCUCUGUUAAUCGGGACGCGGUACCGGAAUAGAAAGCCACGGCUAACUACGUGCCAGCAGCCGCGGUAAUAC
rnacentral:rRNA from 1 species